rnacentral:rRNA from 1 species
UACGUAGGGGGCUAGCGUUGUCCGGAAUCAUUGGGCGUAAAGCGCGUGUAGGCGGUUCGGUAAGUCCGCUGUGAAAGUCGGGGGCUCAACCCUCGGAUGCCGGUGGAUACUGUCGGACUAGAGUACGGAAGAGGCGAGUGGAAUUCCUGGUGUAGCGGUGAAAUGCGCAGAUAUCGGGAGGAACACCUAUGGCGAAGGCAGCUCGCUGGGACGUUACUGACGCUGAGACGCGAAAGCGUGGGGAGCAAACAGG